UUUCUUGAUUAGUGGCGCACGGGUGAGUAAUGCAUAGAUAAUGUGCCCCUUAGUUCGGGAUAGCCACUGGAAACGGUGAUUAAUACCGGAUACUCCUUCUUGUUAUAAGACAAGUCGGGAAAGUUUUUCGCUAAGGGAUCAGUCUAUGUUCCAUCAGCUUGUUGGUGAGGUAAUGGCUCACCAAGGCUAUGACGGAUAUCUGGUUUGAGAGGAUGAUCAGACACACUGGAACUGAGACACGGUCCAGACUCCUACGGGAGGCAGCAGUGAGGAAUAUUGCACAAUGGAGGAAACUCUGAUGCAGCAACGCCGCGUGGAGGAUGACGCAUUUCGGUGUGUAAACUCCUUUUAUUAGGGAAGAUAAUGACGGUACCUAAUGAAUAAGCACCGGCUAACUCCGUGCCAGCAGCCGCGGUAAUACGGAGGGUGCAAGCGUUACUCGGAAUCACUGGGCGUAAAGGGUGCGUAGGCUGGCUUUUAAGUCAGAUGUGAAAUCCAAUGGCUCAACCAUUGAACUGCAUUUGAAACUGAAAGCCUAGAGUUCAGAAGGGGCAGAUGGAAUUAGUGGUGUAGGGGUAAAAUCCGUAGAUAUCACUAGGAAUAUCAAAAGCGAAGGCGAUCUGCUGGGA
rnacentral:rRNA from 1 species